CCUUGGGCAAGGUCGAACGGUAACAGGAAGCAGCUUGCUGCUUUGCUGACGAGUGGCGGACGGGUGAGUAAUGUCUGGGAAACUGCCUGAUGGAGGGGGAUAACUACUGGAAACGGUAGCUAAUACCGCAUAACGUCGCAAGACCAAAGAGGGGGACCUUCGGGCCUCUUGCCAUCGGAUGUGCCCAGAUGGGAUUAGCUAGUAGGUGGGGUAACGGCUCACCUAGGCGACGAUCCCUAGCUGGUCUGAGAGGAUGACCAGCCACACUGGAACUGAGACACGGUCCAGACUCCUACGGGAGGCAGCAGUGGGGAAUAUUGCACAAUGGGCGCAAGCCUGAUGCAGCCAUGCCGCGUGUAUGAAGAAGGGCUUCGGGUUGUAAAGUACUUUCAACGAGGAAGAAAGGAAUAAAGUUAAUACCUUUACUCAUUG
rnacentral:rRNA from 1 species